rnacentral:lncRNA from 1 species
ACUUAGAAACCCAGAGCAUUUUAACCCUCAGUAGUGAGCACACAGAGAUAUUCCUUCAGCAUACCAUACUGCCAUAGAGUGAUGGAGGAAUGACACCAGUAAUUUGAGACCUCUUCAGUGGCUCUGUGAUACAAAGUUAAAACCAGGUCUGCUGCAGUUUGCGGGAGGUCCACUCCAGACCCUGUUUGCCUGGGUGUCACCAGUGGAGGCUGCAGAACAGAAAGGAUUGCCACCUGCUCCUUCCUCUGGAAGCUUCAUCCCAGAGGGACACUGGCCUGAUGCCAGCCACAGCUCUCCUGUACAAGUGUUUAUUAUAUCCCUCUAUAUGGCCAUGUGUACUCAUCGUUCACCUUCCACUUACAUGUAAAAACAUAUGGGCAGCAGUAGGAAGAAUAAUGAGAGACCCUGCAGAGUGAAGAAGGGAAAGCCCAUCACAAAACUAUCAAAUCUCAUGAGAACUCACUGACUGUAACAAGAAAAACAUGGGCAAAAUGGUGGAAGCAGAUUGGCCUGGCAAACUUUUCAUUGCUGGCCUCCAUUUAGAAACCAAUGAAAAGAUGCUUAAAGCAGUAUUUGGGAAAUAUGGUCCCAUAUUGGAAGGUGGAGAUCAACAGCUUCUUGGAGAAAAAGGAGCCCUUCAGGAAGUCUGAGAUCUGCAAGAGGAGGUAGUGGAGGAACAAGAGUGUUUCUUCCCUCAUGUGAGGGACACUUGGGUAAUGUUUUCAAAUACAAAGAUGAAACCAUAGGACUGAAAGACAGUAAGUUUGAAGAUAUCAAAAUUUCUUAAUUUUGUUUACUUCCUUUAUGUACAGAAAAUUAACUUACUGAUAAUGAGCAAAAUUUUUUGUAAGUACUAAAGAUAUAUUAUAAGAAUGAUUGAAAUAAUAUGAAAAUUUCAUUUUAAAAUCUUAAUUUGCAUUGAAAUAACACAUUUAAAAGAAAAUUGAGUUUAUUAAUAUUGAUUGUCUGUACUCAACAAGUUUUCUGCAGAACUCAUUUAUUCAUUAUGCUUCAGAGUUUCUUAUUUUGGGGCCAAGAACUUUAUAUAAAAUGUAUUAUCAAAAUACGAUGGAAUCUUGAAAACCUUCCAACAGGAAAUAAGAAGUCAUUAUUUUAGGAUUGAUCUUGCAAUAUUUGUUAUUUGUGUAUACACAUGGAAAUAUCUAUACAAAUGUAUUCCUUUGCCAUUUUGAUAGGCAUGAUUUGCACAUCGGCCUGCCAUAAAGCAUUUUGUAUUUAAGAAAUGUGUAACUUCAGUUUCUCAAAAGAGUCUGUGACUCAGGAAAAGUCUAAAAGCCACUGCUUCACAAAUAUGUUAGUAUCUUUCUUUGCUGGAGGAUGAGUCACUGAAAAUGGCAUUUAUGAAGGACUUACUCAAUAGGAAUGAGGGUCAAUUUUUACUUAAAAAUAUUCAUGUAUUAAAAAAAUUGGGUCAGUUGUAUUAUCUAUUAACCAACCUUCAAAAAUAUAACAUUUAAUUUGAGUUUUAAUAACCAGAUGUGUAAUUCAUUGGAUAUGUUUUCUCAAGUUGAAAUUGCAGUGUUUGCUCCAUUUUAAGGUACAUAGCUUCAUGAUUUUUUUUUCUCAAUUGAUUUUGAGGGUGAAGAUUAAUACUACUCUGCCAUGAUGAGAAUAUGCAUUUUCUUACCUGUGACACCACCAGGUCAUUAGAAUAUAUCUACAUUUUUU